rnacentral:rRNA from 1 species
AAUGAACGCUGGCGGCAGGCCUAACACAUGCAAGUCGAGCGAGCAUUUCGGUGCUAGCGGCGGACGGGUGAGUAACGCGUGGGAACGUGCCCUUUUCUGCGGAAUAGUCCUGGGAAACUGGGGGUAAUACCGCAUACGCCCUUUUGGGGAAAGAUUUAUCGGAGAAGGAUCGGCCCGCGUUGGAUUAGGUAGUUGGUGGGGUAAUGGCCCACCAAGCCGACGAUCCAUAGCUGGUUUGAGAGGAUGAUCAGCCACACUGGGACUGAGACACGGCCCAGACUCCUACGGGAGGCAGCAUGGGGGAAUUUAAGACAAUGGGGGCAACCCUGAUCUAGCCAGCCCGGGGGAUUGAUGAAGGCCUUAGGGUUGUAAAGCCCUUUCAGCUGGGAAGAUAAUGACGGUACCAGCAAAAGAAGCCCCGGCUAACCCCGG